UACGGAGGGUGCAAGCGUUAUCCGGAUUCACUGGGUUUAAAGGGUGCGUAGGCGGACAGGUAAGUCCGUGGUGAAAUCCUGCAGCUUAACUGCAGAACUGCCAUGGAUACUAUCUAUCUUGAAUAUCGUGGAGGUUAGCGGAAUAUGUCAUGUAGCGGUGAAAUGCUUAGAUAUGACAUAGAACACCCAUUGCGAAGGCAGCUUACUAUGGUUUUAUUGACGCUGAGGCACGAAAGCGUGGGGAUCAAACAGG
rnacentral:rRNA from 1 species